GAUGAACGCUAGCUACAGGCUUAACACAUGCAAGUCGUGGGGCAUCAUGAUGUAGUAAUACAUUGAUGGCGACCGGCGCACGGGUGAGUAACGCGUAUCCAACCUACCCUCCACUCAGUAUAGGCUUCCGAAAGGGAGAUUAAUCCUUGAUAUCGUCAUUCUCUCUCCUGUUAGAAUGAUAAAAGGACAUCGUUUCGGUAGAGGAUGGGGAUGCGUUCCAUUAGGUAGUAGGUGGUUUAACAGGCCACCUAGCCGAUGAUGGAUAGGGGUUCUGAGAGGAAUAUCCCCCACACUGGUAUGAGAUACGGACCAGACUCCUACGGGAGGCAGCAGUGAGGAAUAUUGGUCAAUGGGCGCAAGCCUGAACCAGCCAUGUAGCGUGAAGGAUGACGGUUUUUUUGAUUGUAAACUUCUUUUCUGUGCGAUUAAAGUGUGG
rnacentral:rRNA from 1 species